UACGUAGGCAGCAAGCGUUGUUCGGAGUUACUGGGCGUAAAGCGCGUGUAGGCGGGCCAACAAGUCAGAUGUGAAAUCCCUGAGCUCAACUCAGGGACUGCAUUUGAAGCUGUUGGCCUUGAGUGGUGGAGAGGGAAGCGGAAUUCCUGGUGUAGAGGUGAAAUUCGUAGAUAUCAGGAGGAACACCGGUGGCGAAGGCGACUUCCUGGACACCAACUGACGCUGAGACGCGAAAGCCAGGGGAGCAAACGGG
rnacentral:rRNA from 1 species